UUAGAAACAUUGUUUGCAAGCUCGGUUGCUGAUGACAUGGAGCACGACGAAUUGGAAGACUCAAGUCAAAAUACCUAUGUCGACCAUGAUCCCUUGGACUAUGUGUACUCAAACCUCCCCGAUAGUACACACAUCCUCAAGCACACCACAAACUGGAACCACUGCAAGGCCAAGAAGUUUGUGUCCGAGGCCCCGGGAUUCUGCUGUCGCAAUGGGCAGAUCGAGCUGAAGCAAUCGGAGCCCAUCCCGGAGCUAAUGAGGCUUUGGUCUAGCCAGGAUGCGGACUCUAGGCAUUUUCGAGAGAACAUACGCUUCUUCAACGGCCACUUCUCCUUCACAACGCUCAGCGUCAGCCUGGAUGAAAGCUACACAAACAUGAAGUCUGGGGUGUACACCUUCCGGGCGCACGAUGAUACGUCUCCAACGUAUCUAUAA
rnacentral:rRNA from 1 species